ensembl:rRNA 5S_rRNA 5S ribosomal RNA
AGUUGCAGCCAUAUCACUCUGCAACUCACAACUGGCAACCCACUGAAGCUCAGCAGGUGUGAGCCUGGUCAGUACCUGGAUAGGAGACCUCCUGGGAAAAACUAAGGUUGCUGCUGGAA